CUUUUCCGCCAUGUCGGGCUUUGCCUGCGUUUCCCGCCGGCCCUCAGGUGGGUCUGGCGGGGAAAGGUCCUACCCUGCUCUGCUCACCUGGCGCACGGGGAGCAGCUCGCCGGGGGCUUGAAGAGCCGGAACUUGACAGCCGGGGAGGCAGCGAAAAACCUAUGGGGAAAAGCUGCGUUGUCUAGGCACGUUCCCGUGUACUUAGCGCGGAUGGCACUUAGGGAAGCUAAGCCAACUACUCCUGCUGCACGCAUGCCUGAAUUUAUUACAUUGUUCUGCGGAGCUGAGAGAUUCUUCUUCCUGUUGGUCUGUCCCUGUGUGUAGCAGGAGUUCACAGGAUUAGAAUGAGUCAGAAAUUAAAGCAUGAGCCACUCCCUCAAAGUUUGGACAUCCUUGGAAACCUUUAAAUCCCACUCCCACUUCAAGUGAUUUGUGAGGGCAAGUGUUCCAACUAAGAGCUUGCAGUUGGACACUGCCUUCGCUAAGAUCAAGCUCUCAUCAGGCUCAGAUUGUCAGGGCUAUUUUCAUGAGAUGAAAGAAAUCUUAAUUAAGUGUUCAUAUCUUUGUCAGCCAGACUCAGAAUAAAAAUUGAUGCGAUUCCCUUGAGCUUUACUGCUUGUUAUACUCGGCAACAAAGAUACUGGGAAGAAUAAUGUGAAUCUCAUUUAACAUCACAAAGGAGCUUUCCACAGCAGGAUGGGCUGAUGUGGAACUAUUAAAUUUGCAUAAAAAAACCUCUCCACUUUUUUGUCCCUGAAAAAAAAAAAAAAAAGGUAAAAAAGGAAAAGAAAGAUUUAAAGAAUAUUUUGAGAAUGAUUGCAUUGUUUCUUAUACUUAAGGGAAGAGCUAACAGGCUAAUGAUUUUAGUCCUACCCUCUGUGAAAGAUUCCAGUUCUUCCAUGCCACAGGCAGCCCAGAUGACCUCAGGCAAGAGACUUCCUUCUCGCUGAGCCUUAAUUCUCUCCUUUUUGCUAGUUCAGAGAGGAUUUGUGAGGCUAAAUAUAUUAAAAGCUCUGGGCUCAGCUUACAGUCGUGACAGGCUGAGCAAAAUCCUCAGAGUCAGCGAGUAGUAGUGAUAAAACUUCCUCACAAGCAGACCAUGGCAUGCAGGACCAAACCAUCCACAACAGUAAGAGCAGGAAGCCAUAUACAGAUCUGCAAGUCAGAAGCAGCUGCAGAAGAAUGAUUUGGAUUCCUUUACCAGCAUGACAUUUUAACUCCUUCCCUCUCAGCAGGUAGGGAGGGUUUGAUAUCGAGGUGCUCCUCAUUAGCCAAACUAGUCGGGCUUUGAAAACCCAUGUCUAGACAGGAGAUUUGCACUUCUGUCUUGAGAGAGCCUGAUAAUGUUUUACCAAACACAAAUUAGUUUUGGAUAAUCAGAUUUUAAUAAGGUGACAGCAAAACAACUAGGAUCAGGUAAAUGAGAGAUCAGACUUCAACUUCUUUAAAAAUUUAAAGUCCUACACUUGCAAGAUGUCAAGGCAAUGCAGCACUAAGACUGUUUUCUGCUAGGUUUUGUAAUACCAUAGUUUUUCUCUUUUGUGCUGUUCUUCAGUCUAUCCCUUGGCUAGAAGAUGGUGGAUUAAUGCUGUAACCAUACACUGAACUAUUACCAGGAUGGCAAUAUUUUGAAGAAUAAGGUGCUGUUCUGUUUCUGCAUUUGCUGUGUUGUGUGAAUGGAAACCUACAGACUCUGAACUGAUAACCAUAUGUAACCUCGGGCAGAGUUCAUAUCACUUCAUAGUGAAAAUAUUGUCCUGAUGGGGGUUGAGAAACAAAGGUGCAGUGAGAUGCACUGAUCUGACUACUACAGGUCAAUCAAAGUUCUAGGAACAUCUUGUUCAUUGGCUUCUUUGCCUGGAAAUAAAAGGUACAGUGCAGGACAUGUUGGAGCUCCUCCAUCCCAAAUGGAAGGCCCUUGAAUAUGAGGGCAGGAACAAGCUACUGCUAUUUUUAUUUUUUUUUUUCCUAUAACUUUAUGCAUGUGCCUGCUACUCUGCAUUCUAAAACUAAAAACAAAAACCAACAACAAAAAAGGUUUGUUAGCUCCUCAGAUUCAGUUAUUUUCCAUGCUGAACAAACAUUUUUAGAUUAAAAAAACUAAAGUUUUUCAACAUCACAGACAAAGUCAUAUCUUUACAUAGAAACUGCAAUAUAUAGUACUGUAUCACCUUAGCAGAAUUUAGAAAAAUCUACAGAACUGGUGCAGAAGGUGUGAAAAAUACCCAGGUUGAAAGUAUGGAUUGACUGUUUCUUUCCUUUAAAAAAGGUAAGAAUGUACUAGAGUAAAAGCAAUGCAUUAACAUAUCAAUGAGAGGAAAAAACUCUCAAAUAAAUUAGUCAGGAGGAAGCUUUCCUGUUGGUGACUCAUACAGCCAAAUCACAGAUAGCCUGAAGUCAGCAUUAACAAAUUUUACUAUCCUUUUUCUCCAAGAUGAAUUUUGUAGGAAAACAAUCUAAUUUGGAGAAUGGACUGUUUCUGGGUUACUUGCUGUAUGCUCAGAUUUUCUAAAUCAAAUACUGAAUAAAAAUUCUUGUCUUCA